rnacentral:lncRNA from 1 species
CUGGAUUAUAUGGUGCAGGGGUUCUCCCAGAUCACAGAGCUGUGAUAAAUCUUUCCUCAGGGAUCCUUGCCUGUGGAAAGGAAAGGGGAUAUGCUAUCCACUCGGGCAGUCCUCGGACAGCUCUGAAGACAAGGGAGAGCCUGACAUGAAAUGGAAAAUUACAGGGUUCUUUGGAGAGUCAGUUGUGUUGGAUGGUGGUUUGUAGGGGCAAACACGUGAAGGAACAUUUACCUGAAGUGAACACAGGUGAAAGACUAAGGCAGACUCCUGAAGGAACGUUUCGCUGAAGCAGACACAGGAGAGAGGAAGUUCUGCUAAAUCAAGCAUGUGAAAGGACAUGUGAUGAAGGAUUCUUGGCUAACAACACACUUGUAUUGGUCCGCCUUACAUUGCGUAGUUGAGCUCCAUUUGUCAGGACUUCAUAGAGAGAAAUGCACUAAAAAACUUGUAGUGUGCUGCAGUUUCUUUCUACUUCCAAGGACUGAUUGGCAGAGUGAUGUCAGCUGAGACAGAUACAUGUGCUGAGGUAAGAGUGGUGGAGGACACGUGAUGGUUGGAGGAAGUAUAAAAAGGACACGACAGUGGCAGAACCUGAACUUGGCUUGCUUGCAUAGCUAAACACUUCUUGGUCUCCAGUCUUCCCUGAUCUUUACUUCACUGAGAAAGGCACAGCUGAGAGUUUUUCCUGGUGUUCCUGUUGUCCCUGGUCCCUCCUGCUAACUUAUGCCAAGGCUGAGGCCUGGCUGUCUCUGCUAGGUAGUGACACCGCUGCUGAUUCGUGUUUGCUAUCCUGACUCUACUGAACUGGACUGCUGGUGUAUCUGUGAAAUGUUUUCAAGUGGAUCAAGCUGCUGCCACUGCUGACUUGUGAGCUGAGCUGGCAAUUUCCAGACAACACAGAUGGGAGUUGCUCCAAAGAACCUUUCUAAACAGAUCCACUUCCCCAGUGUCCUUUCUUUUCCACUACCUCUGGUGGGUGGCAGGCUAGAUGGGAGGUUAAAGCAUUUAAGAACCAUCCUUAAAGAUAGGUUAAAAAAAAAAUAAAGUAACAGACAACUAUCUUUAUGUGAAAAUUACAGUUGUUAAAUGAUACCAUCUCUUCUCGAUGUCCUGAUGGUGGUGGGUAGGAAUUUUCACCUCUCUGGUUCCUUGUAGCGAGGAGUUGGUUGGAAGAAUGCACAGGUUUCGUCCCUUCUAAAUUGCCAUCUUUCCCUCACAGGGACUCUGUCUUAGUUAGGGUCUCU